rnacentral:lncRNA from 1 species
CUAAAUCAUAAACAAAGCCAGCACCCGCAAACUCCCUUUUCUCCUUCCAAAGGAUUUGCCUAGUUUGUAUUUUCAGGAUUAGAUCUGCCUCCGUUGAGUAGCUAUGGAAUAAAAUGGAGAGUGAUGUGUGUCGUUCGUCAGCAUCUCCUUCCUGUCCUACGUACUCCUCUACCACAGCCAGCAGUUUCAAGCCAGACUAUGUGAUAUGGUUGGACAAGAGAGAGGGAAGAGAAAAGUGGAGAGAAAAUAUCAGCUCUUUACACAGCAGUAGAUAGAUAUAUUGUUAACGCUAAACCAGAAUAAAUUUCUAGUUCUCCCUUUCCUUCAUUCUUAAUUUCCCUAAAUGAGACAAUUUCUGUGAUGAAUGCUCCCCAGGCAAUAUAAAACCAGAUUUUCCUCUGAUUUUGGCUGGCUGGGUCAGGCCAAAACUGCCUGCGAAAGCCCAUACAUCACAGGGCAGGGAGAGGUGAUGGAGGAGCUGGACAGCACAGCAGGAAAAUGAAACUCUGCAUAUAGAAAAGAGGAAACGAAUGGGUUUUGGUAGGGGAGAGAUAAGGAUGGUUCUGCCGCCAAAUUUCUCAUGAGAGGUGGCAUUGUGUGGGAGAGAGGAAGAAUUGCUUAGCGAGGGGUGGAGGAAAAAGAGGUUAUUAAAAACAAACGCGGGGAGCCCCGUCCUCGAAAUGCAGGUACCCAGGCCCAGCUGAAAGCAGAGGUUUCUAAAUUGGCUUUUGAGGAGGACCUGGAGGGUCUCUGCCAUGCGGUGUAGAGCAGGGGAGAUGGCAAGGACGGGGACAGAGAGGAAGGCUGCUGGCCACCCCUGGGAUCAGAACCCAAUUCACCUCCACUUCUCUCCCAAACCAACUGGGCCAGGAAUGCUCAGAGGUAGCAACCCCAGGUGAUCACAGAGUCCCAAAAACACGGCGCUGGACACCAGUGUGGAUGGUGGUGAAAUGCUGCCAUUUCUGGAGGAGAAGACGGGGCUCUUUCAAAGUCCUUUCCUCACUCCGAGGCUCCCUUCCCAUUGUCUGCAGUGAGCCGCGGUUCAAAGACUGUCAGAGCACAUAAACAUGACACAGUAACUGAGAACAUCAAAGAGCAUUAUGUUUUCCAUACAUGAAGAGUGACAAGCUGCCUAACUCCUUCCAUUAAAAAUUCAGACAAAAAACAAUUCAAGAAAAAUCAAAGCAAAGUCUCCAAGAGAGAGGCAGAUGUCACACGAUUCUGUUACAUGCUCUUAUCUUUUCUCGCCUUGCAAAGUGGCCUCUAAACUCUGCUCCUAAAAAUAUCUACAAAACCUGAUUUACAGUGGUUAUGUGGCUGUCUCGAGAAGAAAACUAUAUACGAAGUGUAAUAUUUGGAGGGGCAGCUUCUGGACUGGGGACCUCUUUGCCAGAGGAAAUCCUGAGAGCAGCAAAGUCCAUCCAACAUCCAUGACCAAGUCCCUUAAAGCUGGAUCCAAGGACUUAGUUCUGGUGCCACAAGUUCAGGCACCAUGGAAAAACAAAACAAAACACAAAACACAGAAUGGAGGCAUGUAAGGAGAGAAGACACAAGAACAUCCAUUUGGCAAAAUCUGUGAACACGUGGUAUGUAGAGAGAAGGGGUAAGUGAAAAAAAUAAGAAAAGAAGAAAACCUGUAGGUGGAAGUUGCAUGUGUGCUAAAAUGGCAGAGACAGAGCAUAGCCCAUCACUGCCAUAGAAAGCCUUGGCAUGACCUGGGCACACUUUGAAAAAUGACGGAAACAUCAACGGGAACAUUUGGUUUCAAUGAACUAAAAUUCCAUGUGAAUUGGGAUCAAAUUUGGUGAGGAGUUUUGGACCAAAACAGGGGAGCUGAAGGGAUUUUGAAAGUCUUUAAGCAAUUUCAAACUUUUGUUAAAAGCUUUUUCAGAAGUUUUUCUUAUACUAAGCUUUUCUUUGUUUCAUAUUGAGCAUUUUAAUUUUAAAAAUCAGCUUAAGGGAAAAAUAGGUGAAGAGGUUAAAUACUUUUGAGAAGAGAACUUCAUUUCUUAAGCAAAUGUAAUGCUCCAGAUUAAACAUGGGCUUGGAGUUUUCUUUCAAUUGUUUCUUUUCUUUUCAUUCUCCUUUCAAAUAUAUUUUCAAACUCUAAAUUAUUUGAUUUGAAAUGGGUUUUGACCUGUAACACUUUUUUUAGUUUUUUUUUUAAUCUAAAAAGAAGCAUUCUUAACUUAACUCUAACCACUGAUAGCUCCUGGAAAAAUAUAAGGUGCUAACCAUUGUUUGUACAGGACUUGAAAAAGCUGAGACACCAUUAACAAAAUGGCCAAAGGGCCUCGGUAAGUCUGAGGGAUGAACUCUUACGUGAGCUUCCACCCAAGCACUGCAACCAGUUCACAGCAGACCUCAAUUCUCGACCCUGUCUGCACAUCCUGCACCCGAUCUCCCAAACUCCAGUGCGGAUUUAAAGGCAGAUUUAAAUACCAUCCCCUGCCUCUUUAGGAAAGAAACGAAGCCUCAGGUAGCACUUCUCUGCACAAAACACCAGGUGAUGGCCUCAAGCUCUCCCCUCAACAGCUUGGCCUCGCCCUUCCGAAGGCAGCUGUGAUGCUCUCAGAGGUCCCCGUGUUUGCUCCGUCCUUCGUGCCCCUGAGCUGCGCCGAGCAAACCGAGGGCUUGGGGCACUCGCACGGGACCGACCGAGGCUUGUGCACACAAUAAACCCAGCUAAUCCAAACCA